CAGGUACGCUAGAUCAAGAGCUCAGCGCGGGGGCUCUGAUACAGGCGAGGCUCUGAUGCACAGGUACGCCGGAUCAAUGGCUCAGUGACGGGCGCUCUGAUACAAGCGAGGCUCUGAUACACAGGUAUGCCAGAUCAAGGGCUCCGCGACGGGGGCUCUGAUACACAGGUACGCUAGAUCAAGGGCUCAGCGCGGGGGCUCUGAUACAGGCGAGGCUCUGAUGCAUAGGUAUGCCGGAUCAAGGGCUCAACGCGGAGCCUCUGAUACAGGCGAGGCUCUGAUGCACAGGUACACUAGAUCAAGGGCUCAGUGCGGGGGCUCUGAUACAGGCGAGGCUCUGAUGCACAGGUACGCCGGAUCAAGGGCUCAGCGGCGGGGGCUCUGAUACAGGCAAGGCUCUGAUGCACAGGUACGCCGGAUCAAGGGCUCAGCGCGGGGGCUCUGAUACAGGCGAGGCUCUGAUGCACAGGUACGCCGGAUCAAGGGCUCAGCGCGGGGGCUCUGAUACAGGCGAGGCUCUGAUGCACAGGUACGCCGGAUCAAGGGCUCAGCGCAGGGGCUCUGAUACAGGCGAGGCUCUGAUGCACAGGUACGCCGGAUCAAGGGCUCCGCGACGGGGGCUCUGAUACAGGCGGAAGGUUGCCUGUUCAAAUCUCACAGCAGAGUAAUUUCACUGUUGAGCACUUGAGCAAAGCCCUUAACCUCAAUUGCUCCUGCAAGUGGCUGUCGCUGCUCUCUAUCACUUCCCCAAAUGGUGCCUA